UACGGGGGGGGCAAGCGUUGUCCGGAAUCAUUGGGCGUAAAGGGCGCGUAGGUGGCCCGGUCAGUCUUUGGUGAAAGCGCGGGGCUCAACCCUGCGUCGGCCAGGGAUACUGCCGCGGCUCGAGCACUGUAGAGGCAGGCGGAAUUCCGGGUGUAGCGGUGGAAUGCGUAGAGAUCCGGAAGAACACCGGUGGCGAAGGCGGCCUGCUGGGCAGUGGCUGACACUGAGGCGCGACAGCGUGGGGAGCAAACAGG
rnacentral:rRNA from 1 species